GAAAUGCGAUAACUAGUGUGAAUUGCAGAAUUCCGUGAAUCAUCGAGUCUUUGAACGCAGAUUGCGCCCCCUGGUAUUCCGGGGGGCAUGCCUGUCCGAGCGUCAUUGCUGCCCAUCAAGCACGGCUUGUGUGUUGGGUCGUCGUCCCCUCUCCGGGGGGGACGGGCCCCAAAGGCAGCGGCGGCACCGCGUCCGAUCCUCGAGCGUAUGGGGCUUUGUCACCCGCUCUGUAGGCCCGGCCGGCGCUUGCCGAACGCAAAUCAAUCUUUUUCCAGGUUGACCUCGGAUCAGGUAGGGAUACCCGCUGAACUUAAGC
rnacentral:misc_RNA from 1 species